rnacentral:rRNA from 1 species
UACGGAGGGUGCAAGCGUUAUCCGGAUUCACUGGGUUUAAAGGGUGCGUAGGUGGGCAGGUAAGUCAGUGGUGAAAUCUCUAAGCUUAACUUAGAAACUGCCGUUGAUACUAUCUGUCUUGAAUAUCGUGGAGGUGAGCGGAAUAUGUCAUGUAGCGGUGAAAUGCUUAGAUAUGACAUAGAACACCAAUUGCGAAGGCAGCUCGCUACACGGUUAUUGACACUGAGGCACGAAAGCGUGGGGAUCAAACAGG